AAAUUGAAGAGUUUGAUCAUGGCUCAGAUUGAACGCUGGCGGCAGGCCUAACACAUGCAAGUCGAACGGUAACAGGAAGCAGCUUGCUGCUUUGCUGACGAGUGGCGGACGGGUGAGUAAUGUCUGGGAAACUGCCUGAUGGAGGGGGAUAACUACUGGAAACGGUGGCUAAUACCGCAUAACGUCGCAAGACCAAAGAGGGGGACCUUCGGGCCUCUUGCCAUCAGAUGUGCCCAGAUGGGAUUAGCUAGUUGGUGAGGUAACGGCUCACCAAGGCGACGAUCCCUAGCUGGUCUGAGAGGAUGACCAGCCACACUGGAACUGAGACACGGUCCAGACUCCUACGGGAGGCAGCAGUGGGGAAUAUUGCACAAUGGGCGCAAGCCUGAUGCAGCCAUGCCGCGUGUAUGAAGAAGGCCUUCGGGUUGUAAAGUACUUUCAGCGGGGAGGAAGGUGUUGUGGUUAAUAACCGCAGCAAUUGACGUUACCCGCAGAAGAAGCACCGGCUAACUCCGUGCCAGCAGCCGCGGUAAUACGGAGGGU
rnacentral:rRNA from 1 species